AGGGACUGAACGAGGGCGGGAACUGGAAAUGGAGGGUGGAGAGUAAUUUCACUUGAAAUGGCACUAAGCCGGAAUGAAAGGGGACAGAGCAAGGUUUAUAGGGACUGAGACCCAGUGACAAGGGACGGAGAUGAGCGAAGCCUGGGAACCUGAGAGCAUCUGGCUAGGACUACGGUAGGGGGCGAGGACGGGGCGAGAACUUCUAACUGGUGAAGGAAAAGGGACGAGGUCUAGAUAACGGCGGACUGCAGACAGGAGAACAAAAGAACGGACCCUGGACUUCCCACUGCCUCUGAUCCAGUACUCUCAGGCAGCCUUCAAGCCCCGGAUGGGACCAAGGAGGGCAGAGAAAAGACAUUCGGGCUUCCUACUCUUCUCUGCCCGGAAUUCUGGUGUAUCCUCGGGCAGAAGCAGUGAAUCCUGAGGGUAUGUGGCGGAUUUGUUAGCCUGGAUUCUCCACCCAUGCAGAGCUGAGAGUGGGCGAUGCUUCUGGAGGCGUAAUGGGGGCUGGGGUUACGGAACACCCAACCCUGCAAACAGCCCAGGGGAAGUAGACUCGAUUUUGGCGACGGACACCAGGACGAGAGAGGCCAAUGUCUGUCUGCGUCUUCAGAUCCUUCCCACACCCUUCCUCCUUCCUAAAUUCUUGAAAGCUCCAAACUCCCACCUCUGUCAUCCUCGGCUCCCCCUCCUAACUCUCCCUCCCCCAUUCCCCAAGGCCCUGGGAUCGGGGUCUUCCCCUUCCCUUCUAAGAUCUCGUUCCUCUGCUCCAUUCCUGUCAGUUCCAAAUCCAGGAAAGAGGGUCUCCCGGACACUAACGCUGAAAAUGUGGGAACUCUGCCUACGAUCUUUGGCCCUCCCCGAUACCCUCCAAAUACCUUGGCUCCCAAAGAUCGUUAUUGAGGGGGAAUCUCUCCGCUGGAAUCUUUGAGUCCCUGUCUGCCGAGUCCCCCGCCUCCAAAACUGAGAUUUGGGCUGUCUUACCGCCCCCGGACCCUGAGCUUUCUCCCCCUCCCCUGUACUCACCCCAAGUCGAGGCGGGGCGGGGAUGGGGGA